rnacentral:rRNA from 1 species
GAUGAACGCUGGCGGCGUGCCUAAUACAUGCCAGUCGAGCGAACGGACGAGAAGCUUGCUUCUCUGAUGUUAGCGGCGGACGGGUGAGUAACACGUGGAUAACCUACCUAUAAGACUGGGAUAACUUCGGGAAACCGGAGCUAAUACCGGAUAAUAUUUUGAACCGCAUGGUUCAAAAGUGAAAGACGGUCUUGCUGUCACUUAUAGAUGGAUCCGCGCUGCAUUAGCUAGUUGGUAAGGUAACGGCUUACCAAGGCAACGAUGCAUAGCCGACCUGAGAGGGUGAUCGGCCACACUGGAACUGAGACACGGUCCAGGCUCCUACGGGAGGCAGCAGUAGGGAAUCUUCCGCAAUGGGCGAAAGCAUGACGGAGCAACGCCGCGUGAGUGAUGAAGGUCUUCGGAUCGUAAAACUCUGUUAUUAGGGAAGAACAUAUGUGUAAGUAACUGUGCACAUCUUGACGGUACCUAAUCAGAAAGCCACGGCUAACUACGUG